UACGAGGGGGGCAAAUGUUGUUCGGAAUCACUGGGCGUAAAGGGAGCGUAGGCGGGUUUUUAAGUCAGGUGUUUAAUCCCGGGGCCCAACCCCGGACCGGCACUUGAAACUGGGAAUCUUGAAUAGUGGAGAGGUCAGUGGAAUUGGGGGUGUAGCGGUGGAAUGCGCAGAUAUCAGGAGGAACACCGAUGGCGAAGGCAGGUCUCUGGGCCACUACUGACGCUGAGAAGCGAAAGCAUGGGGAGCGAACAGG
rnacentral:rRNA from 1 species